CAUAAUUUCACCACAAACCAGUCACAACCAGCGGCUCUUUGCAAGACUUCAGACAGAGGAGCGAAAAGGAUGAUCAGAAGAGUUCUCCAAGAGCUACAAGAAGACCUGAAAUCAGCAGGAGGAUUAACUCUGUGCUCGGGUGCGUUUGGCUGUACUGUCCCGUUGCUGACGACCACAUCUGUGAGGCAGUCGUCAUCAGUCUGAUCCUUGGCAAAGUUGACAAAUACCUACAAAAGUGGGAUUUGGCAGAUUGGCCCUCACCUGGUCCAGCGUGGUCUGUGAAAUGGAGAAAUCAACGAUGUCCAGCUCCUCGUAGUUGUUUG